GGGACGUCAAUGCUAUUGUCAAGCAGGUAACACAACUCAGUCCUGGGGGACGUCAAUGCUAUUGUCAAGCAGGUAACACAACUCAGUCCUGGGGGACGUCAAUGCUAUUGUCAAGCAGGUAACACAACUCAGUCCUGGGGGAUAUCAAUGCUAUUGUCAAGCAGGUAACACAACUCAGUCCUGGGGGAUAUCAAUGCUAUUGUCAAGCAGGUAACACAACUCAGUCCUGGGGGAUAUCAAUGCUAUUGUCAAGCAGGUAACACAUCACAGGCAUCUAAUAUGUGCCCCAUAUCUGUAUGUUACUGUAUUGCUGGGUCCUGGUGGUCUGUACAGUGGUCUGUAUUUACAGUGCCUUUAACAAGUCUCAAUACACUUUACAAUAAAAAAAAAUGUUUAAAACAAAUGUUUUUUUUUAAAAGAAACAAGCAUUGAUUAUCCUGUCUGUAACAACUAUUUGAUUUUCAGCAAAGUAUACAUGGAAUUGAAUUGGUACAGAUGUAGGAUCUUAUUUGAACCAGUUUGCUACAGCAGGAAAAUAAUCCUGCAGCAACAGGAAUGUGAAUUAUUAUGUGGAUUAUAAUAAUUUGACAUUUUCUGUAGGGGUUGAUACAU